ACGCUCGACACCCACGGAGGCAGCAGUGAGGAAUAUUGGUCAAUGGGCGCUAGCCUGAACCAGCCAAGUAGCGUGAAGGAUGAAGGCUCUAUGGGUCGUAAACUUCUUUUAUAUAAGAAUAAAGUGCAGUAUGUAUACUGUUUUGUAUGUAUUAUAUGAAUAAGGAUCGGCUAACUCCGUGCCUGCAGCCGCGGUAAUCUGAGCGGGCUGGCAAGGC
rnacentral:rRNA from 1 species